rnacentral:rRNA from 1 species
AUGCACGCUGGCGGCGUGCCUCAUACAUGCAAGUCGAGCGAACGGACGAGAAGCUUGCUUCUCUGAUGUUAGCGGCGGACGGGUGAGUAACACGUGGAUAACCUACCUAUAAGACUGCGAUAACUUCGGGAAACCGGAGCUAAUACCGGAUAAUAUUUUGAACCGCAUGGUUCAAAAGUGAAAGACGGUCUUGCUGUCACUUAUAGAUGGAUCCGCGCUGCAUUAGCUAGUUGGUAAGGUAACGGCUUACCAAGGCAACGAUGCAUAGCCGACCUGAGAGGGUGAUCGGCCACACUGGAACUGAGACACGGUCCAGACUCCUACGGGAGGCAGCAGUAGGGAAUCUUCCGCAAUGGGCGAAAGCCUGACGGAGCAACGCCGCGUGAGUGAUGAAGGUCUUCGGAUCGUAAAACUCUGUUAUUAGGGAAGAACAUAUGUGUAAGUAACUGUGCACAUCUUGACGGUACCUAAUCAGAAAGCCACGGCUAACUACGCG